AGAAAUUUCAAAUAAACAAUAAGAAUUCUUAAAGAAAUAUUAGAAGGAUCACAAAUAUCACUUAAAUAUAUCUCAAUUCAAUCUUAAUUUAAUUCUAGUUAAAAUCUUAUUGAACUUUAUUCAAACUUUAGGCCAAAACUAAUUGAAUCUUAAAUCCUAAUAAAAUCCUAAACCCUAAAUCAAACCUUAAACCAAAUCCCAACCAAACUCUAAAUCAAAAUCUAAAUCCUAAAUCAAAUCCUAACCAAAUCCUAAUCCAAAUCCUAAAUCAAACCCUAACCAAAUCCUAAUCCAAAUCCUAAAUCCUAAAUCAAAUCCUAACAAAAUUCUAAACCCUAAAUCAAACCCUAACAAAAUCCUAAACCCUAAAUCAAACCAUAACCAAAUCCUAAACCAAAUCCUAGUAAU
rnacentral:lncRNA from 1 species